AAACGAUAUUGGAAGCUUGCUUCCGAUAGGCGUCGACCGGCGCACGGGUGAGUAACGCGUAUCCAACCUGCCCACCACUUGGGAAUAACCUUGCGAAAGUAAGACUAAUACCCAAUGAUAUCUCUAGAAGACAUCUGAAAGAGAUUAAAGAUUUAUCGGUGAUGGAUGGGGAUGCGUCUGAUUAGCUUGUUGGCGGGGUAACGGCCCACCAAGGCGACGAUCAGUAGGGGUUCGGAGAGGAAGGUCCCCCACAUUGGAACUGAGACACGGUCCAAACUCCUACGGGAGGCAGCAGUGAGGAAUAUUGGUCAAUGGGCGAGAGCCUGAACCAGCCAAGUAGCGUGCAGGAUGACGGCCCUAUGGGUUGUAAACUGCUUUUAUAAGGGAAUAAAGUGAGCCUCGUGAGGCUUUUUGCAUGUACCUUAUGAAUAAGGACCGGCUAAUUCCGUGCCAGCAGCCGCGGUAAUACGGAAGGUCCGGGCGUUAUCCGGAUUUAUUGGGUUUAAAGGGAGCGUAGGCCGGAGAUUAAGCGUGUUGUGAAAUGUAGAUGCUCAACAUCUGCACUGCAGCGCGAACUGGUUUCCUUGAGUACGCACAAAGUGGGCGGAAUUCGUGGUGUAGCGGUGAAAUGCUUAGAUAUCACGAAGAACUCCGAUUGCGAAGGCAGCUCACUGGAGCGCAACUGACGCUGAAGCUCGAAAGUGCGGGUAUCGAACAGGAUUAGAUACCCUGGUAGUCCGCACGGUAAACGAUGGAUGCCCGCUGUUGGUCUGAAUAGGUCAGCGGCCAAGCGAAAGCAUUAAGCAUCCCACCUGGGGAGUACGCCGGCAACGGUGCAACUCAAAUG
rnacentral:rRNA from 1 species